rnacentral:rRNA from 1 species
CCUACGGGUGGCAGCAGUGAGGAAUUUUGGUCAAUGGGCGGAAGUCUGAACCAGCAAUGCCGCGUGCAGGAUGACGGCUCUCUGAGUUGUAAACUGCUUUUGUAUUAGGGUAAACACCCCUACGUGUCGGGGCUUGAUAGUAUAAUACGAAUAAGGAUCGGCUAACUACGUGCCAGCAGCCGCGGUAAUACGGAGGAUCCAAGCGUUAUCCGGAUUUAUUGGGUUUAACGGGUGCGUAGGCGGUUUUAUAAGUUAGAUGUGAAAUACCGGUGCUCAACACCGGAACUGCCUCUAAUACUGUUGAACUAGAGAGUAGUUGCGGUAGGUGGAAUGUAUUGUGUAGCGGUGAAAUGCUUAGAGAUCAGACAGAACACCGAUUGCGAAGGCAGCUCACCAAACUAUAUCUGACGUUGAGGCACGAAAGCGUGGGUAGCAAACAGGAUUAGAUACCCUUGUAGUC